rnacentral:misc_RNA from 1 species
GAUGAAGAACGCAGCGAAAUGCGAUAAGUAGUGUGAAUUGCAGAAUUCAGUGAAUCAUCGAAUCUUUGAACGCACAUUGCGCCCGCCAGUAUUCUGGCGAGCAUGCCUGUUCGAGCAUCAUUUCAACCAUCAAGCCCCAGGCUUGUGUUGGAGCCCUGCGGCUGCCGCAGCCUCCCAAAACCAGUGGCGGGCUCGCUAUCACACCGAGUGCAGUAGUUUACUCUUCGCUCAGGGCGUGUGGCGGGUGCUAGCCGUGAAACCCCCAACUUCUCAAGGUUGACCUCGGAUCAGGUAGGAAUACCCGCUGAACUUAAGCAUAUCAAUAAGCGGAGGA